rnacentral:rRNA from 1 species
CAGUCGAGGGGCAGCAUGGUCUUAGCUUGCUAAGGCCGAUGGCGACCGGCGCACGGGUGAGUAACACGUAUCCAACCUGCCGUCUACUCUUGGACAGCCUUCUGAAAGGAAGAUUAAUACAAGAUGGCAUCAUGAGUCCGCAUGUUCACAUGAUUAAAGGUAUUCCGGUAGACGAUGGGGAUGCGUUCCAUUAGAUAGUAGGCGGGGUAACGGCCCACCUAGUCUUCGAUGGAUAGGGGUUCUGAGAGGAAGGUCCCCCACAUUGGAACUGAGACACGGUCCAAACUCCUACGGGAGGCAGCAGUGAGGAAUAUUGGUCAAUGGGCGAGAGCCUGAACCAGCCAAGUAGCGUGAAGGAUGACUGCCCUAUGGGUUGUAAACUUCUUUUAUAAAGGAAUAAAGUCGGGUAUGGAUACCCGUUUGCAUGUACUUUAUGAAUAAGGAUCGGCUAACUCCGUGCCAGCAGCCGCGGUAAUACGGAGGAUCCGAGCGUUAUCCGGAUUUAUUGGGUUUAAAGGGAGCGUAGAUGGAUGUUUAAGUCAGUUGUGAAAGUUUGCGGCUCAACCGUAAAAUUGCAGUUGAUACUGGAUAUCUUGAGUGCAGUUGAGGCAGGCGGAAUUCGUGGUGUAGCGGUGAAAUGCUUAGAUAUCACGAAGAACUCCGAUUGCGAAGGCAGCCUGCUAAGCUGCAACUGACA